AUAGGAAAAUGACCUAUGAAUUGAUAGACUGUGACUUUUAAAUUUGUCUGUCAGUUCUGUAGGCCAAUUUUCUGU
rnacentral:pre_miRNA from 1 species